rnacentral:rRNA from 1 species
CCUACGGGAGGCUGCAGUAGGGAAUUUUUCACAAUGGGCGAAAGCCUGAUGGAGCAACGCCGCGUGCAGGAUGAAGGCCUUCGGGUUGUAAACUGCUUUUAUAAGCGAGAAAUAUGAUGGUAACUUAUGAAUAAGGAUCGGCUAACAACGUUCCAGCAGCCGAGGUCAUACGUAGGAUCCGAGCAUUAUCCGGAGUGACUGGGUGUAAAGAGUUGCGUAGGGUGCAUAAUAAGUAGCUAGUGAAAUCUGGUGGCUCAACCAUUCAGACUAUUAGCUAAACUGUUAAGCUCGAGAACGUUAGGGGUAACUGGAAUUUCUAGUGUAGGAGUGAAAUCCGUAGAUAUUAGAAAGAACACCGAUAGCGUAGGCAGGUUACUGGGACGGUUCUGACACUAAGGCACGAAAGCGUAGGGAGCAAACGGGAUUAGAUACCCUAGUAGUC